AGUAACACGUGGCCAAACUGCCCUGUGGACGGGGAUAAUCUCGGGAAACUGAGGCUAAUCCCCGAUAGGGCUUCCAUCCUGGAGUGGAGGAAGUCCAAAAGUUGCGCUGCGGCACCACAGGGUGUGGCUGCGGCCGAUUAGGUAGACGGUGGGGUAACGGCCCACCGUGCCAGUAAUCGGUACGGGUGAUGAGAGUCAGAGCCCGGAGACGGUAUCUGAGACAAGAUACCGGGCCCUACGGGGCGCAGCAGGCGCGAAACCUUUACACUGCACGACAGUGCGAUAGGGGGAUUCCGAGUGCGAGGGCAUACAGUCCUCGCUUUUCUGGACCGUAAGGAGGUCCAAGAAUAAGGGCUGGGCAAGACCGGUGCCAGCCGCCGCGGUAAUACCGGCAGCCCGAGUGAUGGCCGAUAUUAUUGGGCCUAAAGCGUCC
rnacentral:rRNA from 1 species